GUAGGUGGCAAACGUUGUCCGGAAUUAUUGGGCGUAAAGCGCGCGCAGGCGGUUCUUUAAGUCUGAUGCGAAAGCCCACGGCUCAACCGUGGAGGGUCAUUGGAAACUGGAGAACUUGAGUACAGAAGAGGAAAGCGGAAUUCCACGUGUAGCGGUGAAAUGCGUAGAGAUGUGGAGGAACACCAGUGGCGAAGGCGGCUUUCUGGUCUGUAACUGACGCUGAGGCGCGAAAGCGUGGGGAGCAAACAGGGAUUAGAUACCCUGGUAGUCCACGCCGUAAACGAUGAGUGCUAAGUGUUAGGGGGUUUCCCGCCCCUUAGUGCUGCAGCUAACGCAUUAAGCACUCCGCCUGGGGAUACGGCCGCAAGGCUG
rnacentral:rRNA from 1 species